CUGCGCUAGACGGGGAGGUAGCGGUGCCCUCUUCCCGCGAAAGUGGGAUGCCUGCAACCCGCUACAGCAGGGUCGAAUGCCUUCCGGCGGUCCGCGCGGCAUACGGUUGUUCGGGGAUAAGCGGCGACGAAGGCUGGGUCCUAUGCAAUUGAAGGGUAGCGAACCCCGCCAGGUCCGGAAGGAAGCAACGGUAGCUAUUUUCUUCUUUGUGCCGUAGGGUCGCCUGGCUGGAGCAGGCUGUUCCCGCGCGCCGUGUGCGGCAGGAUCCACGGAAGGUUGCGCAG
rnacentral:SRP_RNA from 1 species